rnacentral:lncRNA from 1 species
CUUGAAGGGCAGGUGGGCAGAGGCCAGCAACAAGGAAUCGAGGGGCAGGUGACCUGUAGCCAUGCAGUGUUCAUUUGUGCCCACAGGAGUGCGUCAUAGGCAGCAGUCCCACACCUCAACUGGAGUCCUGAGCAGAUAACCAGAUCAAGAUACAGGUCAAGAGAACUCCCCAGGAUGCCCAGUUAUGAGAACAAGGCCAAAGCAGCCUGCCUCAGCACCUGUCGCAUUCAAAUCAAAGUUUUGCAGAACCAACAUAACAUCUCUACGGAACCCUAGUGUUCCACAACGGACACAAUUUGAAAACCACUGCAAUAAGAUAAAUUCCUGGUGUAAGUGACCAAAAGUCAGCUGGAGGAAGCUUA